CUGUGUGAUCUCACACUAGCCCUGUGAGAGUGACAGGCCUGGUCUACCACUCCAGGUGAUGGCUGGAGAAACCACGGUCCAGAGAAGUCAGUGAUUUGCCAGAGAUUACAUAGUCAAAGGCAAAGCUGAGGUUCAUGAGCCAGAAAGGAAGCCAAGGCCUUGCACACUUUCUCUGAGACCCUGCCCAGCCCGGCCUACCUUAUGCAUGACGAUCUUCCGCUGGCCUGGC
rnacentral:lncRNA from 10 species